UGUGGAUACGAUCCCGAUUCAUCUUAGCUACAUGGUAAGUUAGAAUUGGAUUUAUUUUUUGGUGCCUUGAUGACGUGCAUCAAAUUUUGACUCUGUUGUUGGGGAUCCUUGGCACAGUUGUUUCGAAAAAAAAAAUAGAUUACUUUCAUUUUUUCUAUCAAUCUUGAUUGCCCUGACAUAAGGUUGCCCUGGCGUAACUGAAAGUUAUGUUGAAUGGUUGUGCUAGGGC
rnacentral:lncRNA from 1 species